UUCAUGGCAUAGUGGUUUGAGCAUCGAGCUUCAACUCUGGAGACCAGGGUUCAAAUCCCUGCUCAGCCAUGAAG